UUAGGGUUUGCGGCUCGCCUUUUCUCUCCGAGUCUCAUCCCUUUUUCUUUCUUCUUAUUUUUCCGAUUUCGAUCGUGUUCCCGUGUGUCAUCUCUCCGAUUCCGAAUUCGAUCCGACUCCUCAUUGAUCCUCGGCGUCCGCCUCUUGCGCCUAGGGUUUUUUAUCCCGCGAUCUUCUGUUUUUGAAGGUACUUCCCCGAUUCUCUUAUUGUUUCGUUUCUUGAUACAUUUGGGGUGCAGUUCGUCGGUUCUAUAUCUUUGUUUGGUUGACUUCUGAGUGAUCGCAUAAGAAGUUCGAAUGGGGGAUAUAGAAGAUAUUUGAAGGCAUCGUGGCUUUGUCGAUGGAUUUAAGGUUGAUUCGGUAGGGUGUAUCGAUCCGAAACUUCUUGAUGGGGUUUAUUCGGUGAUGGCUAGCAAGACCAAGAUAUAUAUCGUUUUGGAAUUUGUAACUGGUGGAUGACGAAAUUGAAAGUAAGGGAAGAUUGAAAGAAGAUGAAGCAAGUUAAAUAUUUUCAGCAGCUUAUUAAUGCUGUGGAUUAUUGUCAUAGUAGAGGUGUUUGUCAUCGAGACCUAAUGCCACAGAGAAUUUAUUAUUGGAUGCUAGUGGUGUUCUAAAAGUUUCAAAUUUCAGAUUGAGUGCUAUACCUCAACAAGUUCGAGAGGAUGGUUUACUUCACACAACAUCUGGAACGCCCAACUAUGUUGCUAAAGGCAUGCAGCUGUAGAAUACAUAUAGCAAAUACAUAUAGAAGUUAAAAAGAAAGGAAGUUGCAAUCCUUCCAUAUCUCUCACUCGAUCUUCUUCCUCUCUCGGGCCUCGGCUUCAGGUAUAUAAAAGAACCAAGUCAUACUCACCCAAAAAUAUAGCUAUGGUAGGGAGGGUCGGCUAGGAAAGGACAUUGAGGUUUGUUUCUCUCUCCAUACUCAUUCUUUCUCCCUUUCUCAGUAAUAAAAAUACAUUUUGUUGGGAUGGAAAAUAGAAUACAUAUACUAAUGUGUAUAAAAGUUGAAAAGAAAGGAAGUUGUAAUCCUUUCAUCUCUCACCCUCUGGAUCUUCUUCCUCUCGAGACUUCAGGUACUACUUUUUCUCAAUCCCUCUCUCUUCUUUUCAUGUUUAAUUGUUGACUGGUUGUAAAAAAAAAGGUUUAAUUGUUGUAUGAUUAUUUUCUAGGUAAAUAAAAAAACCAAUCUAGACUCACCCAAAAUAUAGCUAGCUAGGCUAGGAAAAGACAUCUAGGUUUGUUUCUCUCUCUAUACUCACCAUUUUUCCCUCUCUCACUGAUACAAAUACAUUUUGUAGUAAUGUAAAAGAGAAUACAUAUAGCAAAUACGUACGGAAGCUGAAAAGAAAGGGAGUUGUAAUCCUUCCAUCUCUCUCUCGACUUGAGGUACUCUUUCUCAAUCCCUCUAUCUUUUCUUGAAGUUUAAUUGUUGUAUGAUUAUUAUUUUUUUUGGUAGGCCCGCUUAAAAUAUAGCUAUAGAAGGGAGGAUUAGGAAAGAACAUCAAUGUUUGUUUCUCUCUCUACUCACUCUUUCACCCUCUCUCACCGAUAAAAAUUCAUUUUAUGGGGAUGGAAAACUGAAUACUUUUAAGAUAUCUAUAAAUGAUUAGAUUUAUCCUAACACAUCAACUAAAACUUUUGGGUUCAUUGGUGAUUCAACAUAUUUAAAAAACCUAAUGGGUUUAAGAAUGGAGAUGACCUAGUUGAUAAAAGAUAAAUAGGAGCCCAACCCAUCACUUACAGGUCAAGUAGGUAGGACCAGUUUAAGAGAGUUGGCUGGUUUGACCACAAGGAGCUCUUGAAUCUCUCUUGGCCUUUGUAACUCCUUCAAUAUAAAUAAUAUAAGUUGGGUUCUAUCAUGUUGCCUCAAAAUGAUGGUUGUCACAAGAUAAUUUUUUCGUCAAUAUGACGGUUGUCCCAAUUGGUUGUUUUAGAGUGACAGUUGCUUCAAUAUAUAUGUGGUCUAAAAAUUAUAGGGGUCUUGAAAUAUUGGCUUCUUUGAAAUAAAUGAUCAAUAGUUGCCUUACUAUGUUACUUGUUUCUUAGUAUUGGUUGCCUUAAAAUAUAGGAUUAAUGGUUACCUUAAUAUGUCGAUUUUCCCUAAAUAUUGGUUCAUUUAAUUAUAGAACUAAAUGGUUCCUUGAUUUGUCGGUUGUCCCUAAACUUUGGUUGCCUCGAGAUAAAGCACCAAUGAUUGUCACGAUAUGUUGGUUGAUUCUGAAUAUUGUUGACUUUGAAAUAUAUACGACCAAUAGUUGCCUCAAAAUUUUUGUGAUCUCGAAAUGAUGGUUGUCCAAAAAUGUUUGUUGCUUCGAAAUGAUGGUUGUCUCAAAAUAGUUGCCUUAAAAUGUUGCUUGUCCGGUUUCCUUAAAAUUUAGAAUUAAUGGUUGCCUUAAUAUGUCGAUUGUCCCUAAAUAUUGGUUCCACUAAAGUAGGACCAAUGAUUGCCUUGAUUUGUCGGUUGUCCUUAAAUAUUGGUUGCCUUAAUAUGUCGAUUGUCCCUAAAUAUUGGUUCCUCUAAAUGUAGGACCAAUAAUUUCCGUGAUUUGUCGGUUGUCCCUAAAUAUUGGUUGCCUUAAUAUGUCGACUGUCUGGCUGUCCCUAAAUAUUGGUUCCUCUAAAUGUAGGACCAAUGAUUGCCUUGAUUUGUCGGUUGUCCCUAAAUAUUGGUUGCCUUUGUCACGAUAUGUUGAUUGUCCCUAAAUACUAGCUGACCUUGAAUUAUAUGACCAGUAGUUGUCUCAAAAUUUUUGUGAUCUCGAAAUGAUGGUUGUCCAAAAAUGUUUGUUACUUGCAAUGAUGGUUAUCUCAAAAAUUUUUAUGGCCCAAAAUAGGUACUAAUAGUUACUUCUUUGUCGGUCCUUUUUUUUAAAACUAACAUCCUUUUGGUCAAACAUCGGUUAGUGUAGCUUCUCUUGAAGGGAACCCAUUAAGCUUGUAAAGAUCCUUGAUCCCUUUUUCGAGUACAAUUCUAACAUUCACUCAAACUAUUUCGUAUAAAUGCGUACUCUUUCUAAGCUACCAAUUUAUGGCAAAUAACCUGCAAUAUUGUCGCAAAUAGUUCCAACCAUUACUUCCUUGUGUAGCCUUUUAUUGUUCUAUACUUGCAUCCUUAUUUUUUGUUAGUAAAGCUUCCCUCGUAAGAUAAUACCCAUUAGGCUUGUUAAGCAACUUUAGACAUUUUUCAUAUUACAAUUUUAGCACUCACCCAAAUAACUCAUGUUUGUGUAUAGCCAUUUUUUCUUUUAUAGCCAUAUGUCUAGACCCAACUAGAUAGUGUGAAGAAGAUUCGAGACUGCCCAGCCCAUUUUCUUGAGAAGACAAUAAUUAAUCUCUCUUUGGAUACCUCAAACCUAAAAUCGUCGGAUAACUUAGCAAGGAACUAUUCAUUAACUUUUUAGAAAGGGUUGCGUAUUUCUUCACCUUGCAAACAUGUUGGUUGAUGUCUUCACCAUCUGCAAUGUCCUCUAAAGACCUCAGUGACCAAAAAUUUCCUCUUUCGACUUGAAGUUCGACCAUGAACCUCAGUGAGAAUAUUAGUUGCCUCAUUAUUUUGUCUUGUUUAUUGAUUGCUUCAAUAAAUUUCUUGUUGCUUCAAUAAAGUAUUUACUUCAAAAUAUUGAUGUCUUGACAUAAUGGGCACUCAUAAAGAUUAGUAGUCCUAAGAUAAUUAUGGACUCGAAAUAUUGAUGAUGAAUGGUUACUUCAAUGUAAUUGUCGGUGUCUUGAUAUAAUAAAUAUCUCAAUGUAUUGGUUGUCUUAAUCUAAUCGUUAAUAUUAGUUGCCUUAAUGGAAUAGUUGCCUUAAAAUAUUGUUUAAUGGUUGUCUCAAUAUAAUAAUCGUCUCGAAACCUUGGUUAAGGUGAAACUUAAAUGGAGGCCCGAAUUUAUCAGCCUUUUGAAAAUUGAUCUUGAAGUUGGGGGAUGAUUUUCGUCCCCUUUUGGUAAAGGGGAGACUUUUGGCGCAGAAUAUGCGACGGGUUGACAGUGUAUUGAAGUUCUUUUUAUUGGAUGUUAAAAGUUACUCAUACGGAUAAUGAUGAACUGAAGAUGGUAUUGGAAUUAGUCCAAUGAUGAGAGCCAAAUGCAACGGGUUGGUUGCAAUAUUGUCCAAUCGUAAGAAAUGUGUUUGGGAGUGAUGGUAGAAUUAUUGAUUUUGAAAAAAAGUGAUUUAAGUAUAAUUGGUUUUCCAAAAUACCAUCCAAGUGAUAUUUUAAAAAUCAAUUGAUUUUAAGUUUUUAUUUUUUAUUUAUUUAUUUUUUAAUUUGCAAACAUGAUCAACGGAAAGAGAAGUAAUUUUGACAAUGUUAAAAUGAUUUUAGCCAUCCCAAACGCACCCUAAGUUCACUCAAACACCAAUCCUUGACUGCAAUAGUAAAAGAUAGUAUGUGCUUCACAUUUUUCCUAAUUUAAUCCUUUGUUGCAUGCUUUGUGUUGGUAGCAUUUGUUUCCAGGUGCUUUUGGAUGUUCGUGGACAUAAGAAUGUGUAAAUAAUUGAUACUUAGUUAAAUUAGUCUUUUUUUGUUUAUAGAUUUCAAAUAUUUAUUUUGUAGAUUGUGAUUGAGGAUAGGAGAACAAAAUAUUUGUAUGAGAAGGUGGAGGGAGUCAUCUUUUCUGAAUGGUCUCAUUGUUAUCAUUAGACUUAGAAUGUACGAUGAUUUCCUUUUAAU